CAUUUACUAGCUUAUCUGUACUCUUUGUGUAUCUGCCGAGCAAACCAAGGACCUUAGGUACUUUAUGGGAGCUUGCACAAGGAGGAGCAGGUCGUUGUGGGCAACGGAUUGAUAAACAUUUAUUACGUUUCAAACAAUUAUACUUAUGUUGGGUUUUACAUAAAUGCUUCCGCUACACUUACUUAUGUUGGUUUUGAUAAACACCUUUCGUAUUGAUUUUUAUUACUUAAUUA